UACGGAGGGUGCAAGCGUUAAUCGGAAUUACUGGCGUAAAGCGUGCGCAGGCGGUUUUGUAAGCCAGAUGUGAAAUCCCCGGGCUUAACUUGGGAACUGCAUUUGGGACUGCAAGGCUGGAGUACGGCAGAGGGAGGUGGAAUUCCUGGUGUAGCGGUGGAAUGCGCAGAUAUCAGGAGGAACACCGAUGGCGAAGGCAGCCCCCUGGCUAACACUGACGCUGAGGCACGAAAGCGAUGGGGA
rnacentral:rRNA from 1 species